ensembl:lncRNA
AAGGAGGUGGUGUGCUCCAUCAUUCUAGUGCUUACAGAUACCAAGGAGGUGGUGUGCUCCAUCAUUCUAGUGCUUACAGAUACCAGAUACCAAGGAGGUGGUGUGCUCCAUCAUUCUAGUGCUUACAGAUACCAAGGAGGUGGUGUGCUCCAUCAUUCUAGUGCUUACAGAUACCAAGGAGGUGGUGUGCUCCAUCAUUCUAGUGCUUACAGAUACCAAGGAGGUGGUGUGCUCCAGAGAAAUAGAAAUACAGCAAAGCACUUUUUCAUACGAACAUAAAAAGAAAACAAGUCAAAACAAACAUGGGAACACAUUUAUUUUGAAAUGUACUUAUGAUGUGAUAGUCUGUCUGUAAACUGCGAGAAGUACUUUGUAUAUUACUAAUGAUAUGAAUAUUUAUUUGGUACCUGUGUUUUAAGUUAUUGAUGAGAUUGUGUCUACAUUUACCAAUGUUAUAAUUUUAAAACUUUGUUGUAACCAACCAGGCGUGCCCCUCACUCAAACAGUAGAUAUUGUCAAAACAAAAUGGUCAAUCUGACUUGUCAAACAUUACCAUGUUUUGUUAAUUGGUGUAACUAGCUAGUACAACUGAACAGACAAACUACAUCAAAUGUACUUACCGAAUGCUCUGUCAAUUUUUUGGGCAUGAGACCACUCAGCACUCAGUCUUGUCCUAACCAUGACCAUGUUUUGCACUUCACCCCAGGUUGGGUUCAUCUCUGUCAGUCCUGACCUCACUGUUCCUACACCAGGUAGAACCUAGCUUUGGCCUUCCAUGUUACUCAUAGAUUGCUGUUCUGUUCAGAGCAUGGGGGAUACAGCUUUGUUCCACUCCAUGUUAACACAAAUAUGUAAUUGUCAUGAUUUCUCUCACCACCAAUCAAUUAUUUUACGGUGAAUGUUGAGUCAUGAGGCUAUAGUGAACACUGUAACAUGUAAACAAUAAACUAUUAAGUAUUUGGAUUAAUGUCAUAUGGAAAUGUUUAACCUGUAAACAUUGUGUUUAUAAAAGGGAUUCUGGGGUUAAGAGGGAGGUCUAAUGUUAGUAUCAGAGUUACUUCUGUCAAUGUAAGGUGAUUUUUACAGUUUCAAAAUAAUAUAGGCUAUUGAUGGCAACAUGUAUAUU